UCAGGCUAGCGCGGCGGGCCUGCCGUAGUUUCUGGCUCGGUGAGCGACGGUCCGGUUGCUUGG
rnacentral:pre_miRNA from 1 species